rnacentral:rRNA from 1 species
UCCUGGAUUCAGCGGCGGACGGGUGAGUAAUGCCUAGGAAUCUGCCUGGUAGUGGGGGAUAACGUUCCGAAAGGAACGCUAAUACCGCGUACGUCCUACGGGAGAAAGCAGGGGACCUUCGGGCCUUGCGCUAUCAGAUGAGCCUAGGUCGGAUUAGCUAGUUGGUGAGGUAAUGGCUCACCAAGGCGACGAUCCGUAACUGGUCUGAGAGGAUGAUCAGUCACACUGGAACUGAGACACGGUCCAGACUCCUACGGGAGGCAGCAGUGGGGAAUAUUGGACAAUGGGCGAAAGCCUGAUCCAGCCAUGCCGCGUGUGUGAAGAAGGUCUUCGGAUUGUAAAGCACUUUAAGUUGGGAGGAAGGGCUGUAGGCUAAUAUCCUGCGGUUUUGACGUUACCAACAGAAUAAGCACCGGCUAACUUCGUGCCAGCAGCCGCGGUAAUACGAAGGGUGCAAGCGUUAAUCGGAAUUACUGGGCGUAAAGCGCGCGUAGGUGGUUCGUUAAGUUGGAUGUGAAAGCCCCGGGCUCAACCUGGGAACUGCAUCCAAAACUGGCGAGCUAGAGUACGGUAGAGGGUAGUGGAAUUUCCUGUGUAGCG